rnacentral:misc_RNA from 1 species
GUGAAUCAUCGAAUCUUUGAACGCACAUUGCGCCCGCCAGUAUUCUGGCGGGCAUGCCUGUUCGAGCGUCAUUUCAACCCUCAGGCCCCUCCGGGCGGCCUGGUGUUGGGGACCGGCGGACGGGGGAAGGGAUCACUCUCUCCCCCCAAGGCCCGCCGCCCCCGAAAUGAAUUGGCGGUCUCGUCGCGGCCUCCUCUGCGUAGUAGCACAACCUCGCAACAGGAGCGCGGCGCGGCCACUGCCGUAAAACGCACCAACUUUUUCAAGAGUUGACCUCGAAUCAGGUAGGAAUACCCGCUG